AGAGUUUGAUCCUGGCUCAGAUUGAACGCUGGCGGCAUGCCUUACACGUGCAAGUCGAACGGCAGCAUAGGAGCUUGCUCCUGAUGGCGAGUGGCGAACGGGUGAGUAAUAUAUCGGAACGGCCCUAGAGUGGGGGAUAACUAGUCGAAAGACUAGCUAAUACCGCAUACGAUCUACGGAUGAAAGUGGGGGAUCGCAAGACCUCAUGCUCCUGGAGCGGCCGAUAUCUGAUUAGCUAGUUGGUGGGGUAAAAGCCUACCAAGGCAACGAUCAGUAGCUGGUCUGAGAGGACGACCAGCCACACUGGGACUGAGACACGGCCCAGACUCCUACGGGAGGCAGCAGUGGGGAAUUUUGGACAAUGGGGGCAACCCUGAUCCAGCAAUGCCGCGUGAGUGAAGAAGGCCUUCGGGUUGUAAAGCUCUUUUGUCAGGGAAGAAACGGUGGUAGCGAAUAACUACUACUAAUGACGGUACCUGAAGAAUAAGCACCGGCUAACUACGUGCCAGCAGCCGCGGUAAU
rnacentral:rRNA from 1 species